rnacentral:rRNA from 1 species
CGACGCCGCGUGAGCGAUGAAGCCCUUUCGGGGUGUAAAGCUCUUUCGGCAGGGAGAUGGUGACGGUACCUGCAGAAGCAGCUGCGGCUAACUACGUGCCAGCAGCCGCGGUAAUACGUAGGCAGCGAGCGUUGUUCGGAGUUACUGGGCGUAAAGGGUGCGUAGGCGGCCCAUUAAGUUUGUCGUGAAAUCUCCCGGCUCAACUGGGAGGGUGCGGCGGAAACUGAUGGGCUCGAGUGCGGGAGAGGAGAGUGGAAUUCCUGGUGUAGCGGUGAAAUGCGUAGAUAUCAGGAGGAACACCGGCGGUGUAGACGGCUCUCUGGACCGCAACUGACGCUGAGGCACGAAAGCGUGGGUAGCAAACAGGAUUAGAUACCCUGGUAGUCCACGCCCUAAACGAUGCGCAUUUGGUGUGGGCAGUUCAUUCUGUCCGUGCCGGAGCUAACGCGUUAAAUGCGCCGCCUGGGGAGUACAGUCGCAAGGCUG